AAAUUUAUAUAAAUAUUAUAUCUUAUAAAUAUUGAAAAUUUUAAAUAUAGUCCAACUUCAUAGUUAAAUAUUAGAUAAACUACUAAUAUAAGUUAGUAUUGUACUAAGUUCGGUUCUUAAUAUUUACUAACUUUUGUUAUAUUUGUAAGUGCACUUUAGUAUCAAUCCUGUAAUGAUGCAGCAGUUUUUGCUAUAUUUAAUGGAAAAUGGCAUGCCAUUUGGGCAUGCCUUUUUGUAAAAUACAUGCCUAUAGGCAUGCCAGUGAGAACUGCCGUGACAUGUACCCUAAACUUAACACAUACAUACAAAUUUUCUCCCAUUCAAGAUCAGUAAUCCAGAUCCAAAGCAACAUCUAUUUACAACACCAUCAAAUAACAAAACACAAUUUCAUCACUAAUUUAAAGAUUUAAAUAGGAAGAAAAAGAUGUAGGAUGAGGAACCCAGAUCGCUUUAGCUGGAAACGAAAGCAGCAAAGACGAGCCUGGGAUUUAAUCCAGUGAAUGUGCGCCUAUCACACGACGGAAUCGUGCGCCACAAUUAUAACCUCACUCGUGGAAUACCACGCUACCCCUUCUUUUCCGGGGACAGCGCUCGGCCUAAGGCGCUUUUCUCCUCUUCUUCUCGCCCAUCUUUUUCAUUAUAUACCCGCUCUUCAACCCUAAUUUCUUUCUUCUUCUUAUUUCUUUCUUUACUAAAACCUAUCAAUCAAUAUUCAAUAUUCAAUAUAAAUAUAAAUAUAAUAAAUAUAAAUAAAUAUUAAAUAUUAAAUAUUAAAUUUAAAUAUAUAUAUAUAUAUAUAAUCUUAAUAAAUGCUAGUGAAGGCCCUAAAAUACUCCUUCAAAUACCCAUAACAUUUGCCUGAUCCGGAUAACCCAUUAACCCGUUACUUCUGUUUCUCGCGUGCUUAUCUUCAAACUGAUUUGAUCGUGCAUCAACAAGCGGAUAUUCUGUUACCAAAAUUUCCGACUCCUAAUUCAAAUUUUGAAUACAGUCUUCAAUAGUAUGGAUCAUAUCUUCACGCCGUCGGGUCAUAUCUUCGAUCUUCGAAUGUUUGCAUAGACAUCUUUGAAUAGGGCAGUGUGUUCUUCCCAGGCAUGGAAAGCGACGGUGUUACUACACCGGCAGCGGAAUGUAUACAUCCAUUUACACAUGUAAACACCGAUCUAUUGCUGAUUUUUGGAAUUCUCCAUCCCUCUCCUGCGUCGAUUUUCCCCGUGUGCAGGUCUCAUUGGCGAAUUUGAUGAAGCGAUGAACGGAUGCUAAUCCUGACAUAAGGCCUGAAAUUGAUGAGGCUGUCACUAUGAUAGAGGCUAUUGACACAUCAAAAGGUGGAGGAAUGGUUCCUGGUGAUCAGCCUCAAGGCUGCCUCUGACUCCGUAGCCACCAAGGUCCAUGAAAGCACUACAAUUGCAUUUUUAAACACAAGCACACAAGGUAGAUUGAGUAUAACGAAUAUAUUAAAAAGAGAUGGUUUUCAUAGUCGAGAAGAUUCGGAGGAUGUUGGGCACAGAACCAUGGAGCUAUGCUACAUAUCUUUAUGAUUGGGUACUUGAAUACACAUUGUGUGCUUCUUUGACAGGUGGAUUGUGGUGCUGAUGUUAUUGUCACACAACUUUUCUAUGAUACUGAUAUCUUGCACUUAUUUUUGGGUAGUUUUCUUGGGCUUUAGUUUGAGACUAAUGUAUAUAUCAAUUUGAGUUGGUUGUUCAUUAUGUAUUAUGUAUGUUCUGUUUUAGACUUGACCUGAGACCUCGCCUUGAUUGUAUGAUUUCUGGAAGAGGUAGUGUGUACUUUAAAGAGAGAAUUUAUGUAACAGGUUUUAGUUUUGCACAUUUGUUCGAUGCAUGAAUUUUUAGUAUGUUUUUAAGUGAGAGUUGUUAAUGUCAAGCUGCAAAUUGAUGAAAAAAUAAACAGAUUUCAUUGAUGCUUGCAUUUUGAAAAAUGGGUGCAUAAUCUCUAUGAUAACAAAGGGACGCAAGUUUUACGUAUGGUUAUCUGCGAUACGUUUUUUUGCAAGUUAUUAUGCAACUGAUCAACGGAUUUUAAGCGAAGCAGAUCACCUGUUAUGUGUUAAAUCUGUUUAAUUGGAAGUUAAUGUCACAAAAGAUCGCAGAGAUCUCCGUCUAAAGCUCCGGGACAAGAGCACUCAAAGUCAACUCGAGAAUGAAGGUAUUAGAGAUAUGUUAAUAUGGUUAGCUAAUAAUAGCCUGCCUUAUCUCUUUCCUUAAUUUGGAUGGCAGCUUUGGAAACAAUUUAGUUGGUGCUCGGAUACGUGUACCCGAAUCAUCAGACUUCGUUCUUGAAGGAGGCACCUGGAACUUGGCGUUGGACGCUUGGAGUGGAUCAAGUUCCAAAUGUUAGAGUGAGAAUCUCCCAGGUAUCUAGCUAUAUAAUUGGUAACUCUCAAGCCUAUAACUUAUUUUACAGGCAGUCUCAAUAUUAAGGUGGUUGGCCGAUUCUCAAACUACAUUCAAAACCUGAUCACAUCGCAAUGUGUUGUCAUCAGAGGUAAAAAAUAUUUAAAAGGCAACUAUAUUAAUAUGUUUGUGUGUUUAUCAGAUUUUGUAGGUUUACUGAUAUAUUUUAUUUUUCUGUUUUGGGUGAGCUUGAAUAAUCUCUGCUCCAAAAUAAAAUGAAAUAGGCCCUUGAAUGGUUGUCUGAUAAAAGUCUAUAGGAUGCUUCUUGCUUCAUGACCAUGGUCCUUAGCCGAGACAUUGAGUUAUCAAAGCUACACCUGGGAAUUAAGGGUGAUUGAAUUGUUUUGAUAUCUUAUAAUUUGAAUGUAGUAAAUUAAAGAUACUACAAGGAGAUUAGAGCAAUGUGAAGGAUCGAUUGUGAAGAGUCUAUGUGUAGUGCUUAGUUGAACAUAUGUACUCCAGAGUUAUAGCCUUCUCAAAAAUAUGAUGGUGAUAAUAGUUAAGCAUUUAAAACUGCAUCAGAAUCACCAUAUUGGAUUCUUAUAUAAUGAACACGUCACACCAUCAACUUACAAUUCCUUUUUCUUCUUCGUGAUACAAUUAUAGGAUCAUAUUUAGUUAGCUACUCAAAUUUAUCUAACUGGAAUACUGGAUAUAAUUGAGGCCAUUCACCCUACUACAUGAAGUUCACUCAUACUAGGUCAAGAGUCAAGACAUAAGAAAGACUGCCAUAGUUUUGUUACAACAUCGAUAUACAACUAAAUUUCUAUAAAAACAAAAACAAUUGCUCAAGUAAGGAAUGACCCAGUAGCAGCUCAACUGAUUUUCCAUUAAGCUCAGUAACAAGCCUUUCUAAUAUUACAGGACUUCAUAAAAACAACUUUCAUUUACUGAGGCUGCUGGCCAUGUGGUGGAGGACCAGGUGGAAGUGGGGGAUGCAUUCCAGAUGGCAUACCAAAAUUAGGAGGCAAUGCUCCCAUUGCCUUAAUAUUUUGAUUCCCAGACUGCAUUAAAAGAAAUAUAAAAAAAAUUAAGAAACCUUCUCAACAGACGAUGGUUCUCCAAACAAAUAUUAAUGCGAUGAGCAUUAUCUGACUACACGGUAGUUUUCAAUUUAAUCUAAGCUACAUUUCUAUCUCUUAUGUCUAACCCUCUGCUUUGUGCAUGAAUAUUUAAUUCUCUAUCACUAAUUUUAGGAUUGUGAGGUCAGGUGUGAAUUUUUCCCAUUUUAAAAUAUUGAUAAACCUUAUUUACACUUCUGGUAUCUUCAGUUAUGGGCCAAAAUUUUAUAAAUGGGCAACUCUUAAAUGUACUAUGUAUGUACUGUAGAGGUCCAGAGGGGUCAGGUAACCAAGGGAAGAAUGAUCAUCAAAAGAAUUUCAACCAUAACUGUAGUCCUAAUAACUUAACAGAUAAUUGUCGGCAUCCUUCAUAAUAUGAUCAUGAUAUAUAAUUUUAAACAUGCAGUGUUGAGUAGGAUUUAAUAGCAAAUAACCUGGAACGGGUUAUGCCCUGGCAUAACCUGGAACAUCCUUUUUUUCUUUAUUUUGCUCCUCUAUCUCCACCCUCAUCCUAUAAAUUUGAGUAGCCAACUAAAUAUGAUCCUAUAACUGUGUUCAUUAUAUAAGAAUCCAAUAUAUUAGGAAGUUUUCAGAAAUAUGAUGGUGAUAAUUCUCAAGCAUUUGUGGCUUGAUGGUCUAUAUAUUAGGUAUGUUUCUUCCUUUUUUAAGUUAGUAUUCUUAUUUCAGAAUAAUAUCUGUUAUGAGUAUUCUUGCAGCAUGAUUUCAUAUUCCUAUACAAAUGAUCCACACACAACAAACUUUAUUGGCAAAGGAAAGAUAUUUGGAGAUAGAGUGAAGAAGUGGAUAACAUUGAGCCAACCUAGAGUCAUAGCUGCUCUUAGAUAUGAUUCUGGAUUUUUUACACCGGGAAGAUGUUCUAAAACAUGCAAAAUCUACACUGCUAGAAAUUCUGCUAUAGAGCCUUAUUUAUAGCGCAUAAUGUGAUUUAAUGUCAAGCAUAUGCUGUUCAAAGGUACCAUUCAAAGUAUCAGUUUUGCAGUUUUGUAAAGCUUACACGGCCCUAGAUGAUUAUGUGGCAUAGAGAAGCAAACCAAGGUACUGUAAAAGUAACACAAUCUAUGUGUAGGUUGGUUCAAUAUGUGUCAGGCUUAGUUUCUCUUUGGUUAGGUUAAUGCUUGAGAUUGGUAUGUGAAUCUUUUGUUGCUUCUGUGCCUCCUAGCCUUAGUCAAACUGCCUCAGUGAAUAAUAAACGACCAAGACCACCAAGUGAUAUUUCUGCUGUUGAACCGACUUCUACAGCAGUACCUGCUGCCUGGAACCCUUCCCACGAUUCAAGCCAAUUAAAUGUUUCUCUUGAAGGCCAGAGGACGGAUAUUAAUGUUUAUAGACAGCCCAUGCGAUCAGCAAAAUAUUCAAAUCUCACUACUGAAAGUUCCCAUGUCAGAGCUCCUUGGAGUAAGAUCUCUGAUGAAAAUGAAGAUAACAAAAGUGCCUCUGCAUGGUCUGUUCAACAUAGCUUUACAAACUAGAAUCCAAUGUAUCAAUACAAUGACCAGUUAGCUCUCCCGGUUGAAGAGAAGAAGUCUGAUGCUGUCGACUCAUGCAGGUUAUUUGGCUUUGAUUUAAAAAGUUCAACAGAUGCAGCAAAGAAAAUCACCCCCUUAGACACCAGUCAACGUGUUCAUCAAAGCUGCUGAUGGUGGUGAUUCUGAAGAAAAAUCUGAACUCUCGAAGGAUUCUAAAAUGAAACUUCAAGGGUUGCAAGUAUCACCGAAGGAAGUGCAAAGCAAGCAGAAUUGCUCAAGCAGAGGUCACACUAAGGUCCAAAUGCAAGAAAUAGCAAUGACAUGCAGAUUUUUAAUUGAUGUGGCAAUUCAUUUAAUUGACAUAUUCUGUUGCCUUAUCUUCCACCUCUGAUUUCAAAAUUUUGAAACCAAGAUAUGUGAAAAACUGAUUCGGAGUAGUUAUGAGUGGCCGGAGCAAUCUUCUGCCAUUGUUAUGAUUAUUGUUCUCAUCUCCAAUCAUGGACAAUGAUGGAACAAGUCAGAGUAUUUCUAUAACAUCCUCUGUUGCAGGUCGAAAACGACGUGGUAGUGGAUCAGCACUCGAUGAGUUUUUGCGUAAUAGAUUGACAAAAAUACAGCAGCGCGGUGAGAUUGAUUCAGGUGUGGAUCCCGAAGCAGGUCAUGCAGGCAAUUCAAAGACGAAAAACUGAUCUUCAAUUGCAGGAUGUUUAGUCAAAAGCUUCAAUAAAUAGCGGUAUGAUAUCUAAUACAAUGAUCUUUUGGUUUGUUAAGGACUACAUGUGAUCGUGUAUUGAAGUUACCUUUUGAGUAGUAUUUGAGUGGUAAUCAUAAGUUAUAGUGAAGGUUACGUCAAUAGGAUAGAAUGAGAGAAAGAUACAUUAUCGCUACUAAAUAUUCUAGGCUGUGAUUAAGUACAAAUACCACGAUGGUUUGGUAUUAUGCACAAUAGUGUCCUUUUUAUAUACGUAUCGACACUAUAGUCAGUCAUGUCCUUUCUAGCAUCUACUACUUGGCUUUCCUUCCCUGGUGACCAAGUCUGCCUUUCUAGCAUCUACUCUGUGUAAUGAUUUCUAUGUGCAGCUGGAUGAUUGUAGAUAGUUUGCAAGCUGAUUAUGAGAAUCCUUCACUUCCUUAUUAAAGCUUCGUUGCAAAAGAUUUAGAUGAAUGUUGCAGUUAGAUGGCUCAGCUACAUCUGAUAAAAUUUUGGUUACGGAAACCAAGAGGUCACCCUUCUCCUGCAGUCUCUUCACUAUUUCAUAUUGGCAUUGCCUCACGGGUGAGAAAUCAAGCCCCAUGUCCUUGAGCUUUUGGUUUGAAAUUGUUAAUGGCCUGGAUCUUGGCUUAAUUUCAUCAGAACUUCUGCAUUACAACCAUGGGAAAUAUAUUGCUAAAGUUUCUACCACCUUGCCGCGAUGAAGCGAUAUUUCGGAGCAGAUGUAUCUUCCUGUUGUUGCAUGGGUCUCAAAUAGAAGAACAUGUGCAGAAGCGACAUCUCUAACAUCAACAUAGGCCUGAACUGAGUUGUUUUGGAAGAUGGCUUUGUUCACAACAGCAUGGUGUACAAUAGCAUAAUAUAUGGUUCUGUCAAGUAAAAUACCAUCAAUUAUGCAUUGGCUGUCUAUAUUAAAAUAUGCAAAAGUGGAAUUUGUCCUCAUGUUUUUAUUUACACUACUUUAGUUGAUGGCCUUAUCAAAAGCAACAACUAUGAUCUGCAUAUGGUUUCAAUUGCUUAAAGGUGCUCGCCAGUCCAAAUGAGCUUAAUGACGGAACGCUUUGCAGCUCAAACAGGAGAUUGGCAUGCUGGAGAUCGUUAUGUAUAGACAAUUUUAUCAGACAACAAUUUUGCAGUUGUGAGAUAAUUACGUAUGGAUUUCAACUUUAUACAUUAUGUAUAAGUAUUUAGUGUAUACUUUUAGGAGAGUAAUCGUGAUCAUCGUGUCUGAUGUAAUGGUUGUUAAUACUAUUAUAACUAAACAUGCA